rnacentral:rRNA from 1 species
CCAGACUCCUACGGGAGGCAGCAGUGAGGAAUAUUGGUCAAUGGCCGUAAGGCUGAACCAGCCAAGUAGCGUGAGGGAAGACUGCCCUAUGGGUUGUAAACCUCUUUUAUGCGGGGAUAAAGGUGUCCACGUGUGGAUGUUUGCAGGUACCGCAUGAAUAAGGACCGGCUAAUUCCGUGCCAGCAGCCGCGGUAAUACGGAAGGUCCGGGCGUUAUCCGGAUUUAUUGGGUUUAAAGGGUGCGUAGGCGGAUCGUUAAGUAAGUGGUAAAAUGGGGGGGCCCACCCCCUUCCCGCCAUUGAAACUGGCGUUCUUGAGUGGAAGAGAAGUAUGCGGAAUGCGUGGUGUAGCGGUGAAAUGCAUAGAUAUCACGCAGAACUCCGAUUGCGAAGGCAGCAUACCGGCGCUCAACUGACGCUCAUGCACGAAAGUGUGGGUAUCGAACAGGAUUAGAUACCCGGGUA